rnacentral:rRNA from 1 species
CCUACGGGAGGCAGCAGUGAGGAAUAUUGGUCAAUGGGCGCGAGCCUGAACCAGCCAAGUCGCGUGAGGGAAGACGGUCCUAUGGAUUGUAAACCUCUUUUGUCGGGGAGCAAAAGACGCCACGCGUGGCGUUCCGAGAGUACCCGAAGAAACAGCAUCGGCUAACUCCGUGCCAGCAGCCGCGGUAAUACGGAGGAUGCGAGCGUUAUCCGGAGUUAGUGGGGUUAAAGGGUGCGCAGGCGGAAGAUCAAGUCAGCGGUAAAAUUGAGAGGCUCAACCUCUUCGAGCCGUUGAAACUGGUUUUCUUGAGUGAGCGAGAGGUAUGCGGAAUGCGUGGUGUAGCGGUGAAAUGCAUAGAUAUCACGCAGAACUCCGAUUGCGAAGGCAGCGUACCGGCGCCCAACUGACGCUGAAGCACGAAGGCGUGGGUAUCGAACAGGAUUAGAUACCCUUGUAGUC